rnacentral:rRNA from 1 species
UUUUUGUUACCGGGGGUACUUAAGCAUAUCAAUAAGCGGAGGAAAAGAAACCAACAGGGAUUGCCCUAGUAACGGCGAGUGAAGCGGCAACAGCUCAAAUUUGAAAUCUGGCGUCUUCGGCGUCCGAGUUGUAAUUUGCAGAGGGCGCUUUGGCAUUGGCAGCGGUCCAAGUUCCUUGGAACAGGACGUCACAGAGGGUGAGAAUCCCGUACGUGGUCGCUAGCCUUUACCGUGUAAAGCCCCUUCGACGAGUCGAGUUGUUUGGGAAUGCAGCUCUAAAUGGGAGGUAAAUUUCUUCUAAAGCUAAAUACUGGCCAGAGACCGAUAGCGCACAAGUAGAGUGAUCGAAAGAUGAAAAGCACUUUGGAAAGAGAGUUAAAAAGCACGUGAAAUUGUUGAAAGGGAAGCGCUUGCAGCCAGACUUGCCUGUAGUUGCUCAUCCGGGUUUCUACCCGGUGCACUCUUCUAUAGGCAGGCCAGCAUCAGUUUGGGCGGUUGGAUAAAGGUCUCUGUCAUGUACCUCCUUUCGGGGAGAUCUUAUAGGGGAGACGACAUGCAACCAGCCUGGACUGAGGUCCGCGCAUCUGCUAGGAUGCUGGCGUAAUGGCUGUAAGCGGCCCGUCUUGAAACACGGACCAAGGAGUCUAACAUCUAUGCGAGUGUUUGGGUGUCAAGCCCGAACGCGUAAUGAAAGUGAACGGAGGUGGGAACCUUUCGGGGUGCACCAUCGACCGAUCCUGAUGUCUUCGGAUGGAUUUGAGUAAGAGCAUAGCUGUUGGGACCCGAAAGAUGGUGAACUAUGCUUGAAUAGGGUGAAGCCAGAGGAAACUCUGGUGGAGGCUCGCAGCGGUUCUGACGUGCAAAUCGAUCGUCAAAUUUGGGCAUAGGGGCGAAAGACUAAUCGAACUAUCUAGUAGCUGGUUCCUGCCGAGCCCCUCUUCUCAAGAUAUA